rnacentral:lncRNA from 1 species
AUGAAAGGGAAAUAUCAAUAGCGAGUUAGCAUUUUGAGAUACUUGUGAAAGACAUUCAACAGGAUAAUACAUUGCAUCCAAAGAAGUCAUGAAAACCGAGCAUAUUAUAUGUCUGGCUCUGAUAUCACUUCUGCUUUUGAAAAACCUUCCGGUUGUGAGGUCAAAUAGACCAUUAUGUCGACUUAUCACCUUACGUAACGGACGAGUCAAUUGUCGAGAUACAGGAAGAAUAAUAAAUGGACGUGGAAGGUGUGGAAGAAGAGCUUAUGGAAGAGCUAAAUAUUGCGUAAUGGUUGGUAGGUCGUGUAGAUGUAUUACAGAUGCCGCAUUGGGAGUGAUCUAAAUUGUGAUUUGGAAAAUCGUCAAGAGUUUUAUAUUGCUGAGUUAUACGUAAUACAUUGUACAUUUCGCAUUAUAACAGCUACAGAAUCCCUCGGCAUCCUGCAAAUGAUAUAACACAAAAAACAAAACAUGACUAAUCUGCACAAUAAUUUUUCAUGGGUUAAGUAGAAUACAGAAUCACAUGUUAAACCAACUGUGUUAAGAAGUGGGCAAUAUAAAAAGUAAGAUGUGCAUGAUUUAUUGCAAAAACGUUAAUAUACGCGCCUCAUGAUAAUGAAUGCAAAAGAAACUGUAAAUCUAGCUGAACUGUUUUAUGGAAUAAAAGAACAAUAAAAUUG